rnacentral:rRNA from 1 species
AUUGAACGCUGGCGGCAUGCUUUACACAUGCAAGUCGAACGGGUGUAGCAAUACACUAGUGGCGAACGGGUGAGUAAUGCAUCGGAACGUACCGUGUAGUGGGGGAUAACCCGGCGAAAGUCGGAUUAAUACCGCAUGAGAUCUAUGGAUGAAAGCAGGGGAUCGUAAGACCUUGCGCUAUAUGAGCGGCCGAUGUCGGAUUAGCUAGUUGGUGGGGUAAAGGCCCACCAAGGCGACGAUCCGUAGCGGGUCUGAGAGGAUGAUCCGCCACACUGGGACUGAGACACGGCCCAGACUCCUACGGGAGGCAGCAGUGGGGAAUAUUGGACAAGGGGGGCAACCCUGAUCCAGCCAUGCCGCGUGAGUGAAGAAGGCCUUCGGGUUGUAAAGCUCUUUCGGCCGGGAAGAAAUCGCAUGGGUUAAUACCCUGUGCGGAUGACGGUACCUGCAGAAAAAGGACCGGCUAACUACGUGCCAGCAGCCGCCGUAAAAC